rnacentral:rRNA from 1 species
AUCAACUUUCGAUUGGUAGGAUAGAGGCCUACCAUGGUGGUAACGGGUAACGGGGUGUUAGGGCACGACACCGGAGAGGGAGCCUGAGAAACGGCUACCACAUCCAAGGAAGGCAGCAGGCGCGCAAAUUACCCAAUCCCGACACGGGGAGGUAGUGACAAUAAAUAACAAUACAGGGUUCUUUUGGAUCUUGUAAUUGGAAUGAGUACAAUUUAAAUCUCUUAACGAGGAACAAUUGGAGGGCAAGUCUGGUGCCAGCAGCCGCGGUAAUUCCAGCUCCAAUAGCGUAUAUUAAAGUUGUUGCAGUUAAAAAGCUCGUAGUUGAAUUUCGGGAUCAAUAUUUCGGUCAUGCCGUUGGUAUGCACUGUUAUCAUUGAUUUCUCACCUUCUAAAGAACCGUAAUGCCAUUAAUUUGGUGCUACGGGGAAUUAGGACUGUUACCUUGAAAAAAUUAGAGUGUUUAAGCAGGCUCACGCUUGAAUACAUUAGCAUGGAAUAGUGAAAUAGGACAUCCGAUUCUAUUUUGUUGGUUUCUAGGAUCACCGUAAUGAUUAAUAGGGAUAGUUGGGGGCAUUAGUAUUCAAUUGUCAGAGGUGAAAUUCUUGGAUUUAUUGAAGACUAGCUACUGCGAAAGCAUUUGCCAAGGAUGUUUUCAUUAAUCAAGAACGAAAGUUAGGGGAUCGGAGACGAUCAGAUACCGUCGUAGUCUUAACCAUAAACUAUGCCGACUAGGGAUCGGACGAAGUUAAUUUUAUAAUGACGCGUUCGGCACCUUACGGGAAACCAAAGUGUUUGGGUUC